UAUAAAUGGUAUACAAUGAAACUGCGAAUGGCUCAUUAAAACAGUUAUAGUUUAUUUGGUAAUCAAACUUACAUGGAUAACCGUGGUAAUUCUAGAGCUAAUACAUGCUGUUGUGCCCGACUCACGAAGGGCCGUAUUUAUUAGAUAUCAGCCAAUAAGCAUCUGCUAUUGUGGUGACUCAUAGUAACUUNAUCGGAUCGCAUGGGCUUGUCCCGCGACAAACCAUUCAAGUUUCUGCCCCAUCAUGCUUUCGAUGGUAGUGUAUUGGACUACCAUGGCUUUCACGGGUAACGGAGGAUUAGGGUUCGAUUCCGGAGAGGGAGCCUGAGAAACGGCUACCACUUCCACGGAAGGCAGCAGGCGCGUAAAUUACCCAAUCCUGAUUCAGGGAGGUAGUGACAAGAAAUAAUGGGUCGGGGUUCUGCCCCGGGACUGCAAUGAGACGAAUUUAGACCCCUUAUCGAGGACCAAUUGGAGGGCAAGCCUGGUGCCAGCAGCCGCGGUAAUUCCAGCUCCAAUAGCGUAUAUUAAAGUUGUUGCAGUUAAAAAGCUCGUAGUUGGAUUUCUGGUAGUGGGCAAGAGCUCUCUGAUGAUGCUCGCGUUCAUUGCCAUCCUUCUGUUAACCUAUCAGGGCAUUCUUUUGUCAGUUAGGGUCUCAGAUAUUUUACCUAGAGAAAAAUAGAGUGUUUCAGGCAGGCAUGUUCCCGAAUUCUUUAGCAUGGUAUAAUGGAUUAGGUUUUUUUCCUAAUCUGUAGGUAUGAGGGGUUUAAGUAAUGAUU
rnacentral:rRNA from 1 species